rnacentral:rRNA from 1 species
GUCCACGCCGUAAACGAUGGAUACUAGCUGUUGGAAGUAAUUUCAGUGGCUAAGCGAAAGUGAUAAGUAUCCCACCUGGGGAGUACGUUCGCAAGAAUGAAACUCAAAGGAAUUGACGGGGGCCCGCACAAGCGGUGGAGCAUGUGGUUUAAUUCGAUGAUACGCGAGGAACCUUACCAAGGCUUAAAUGUAGUUUGACAGAUUUGGAAACAGAUUUUUCUUCGGACAAAUUACAAGGUGCUGCAUGGUUGUCGU